UACGGGGGUGGCGAGCGUUACUCGGAUUUACUGGGUGUAAAGGGCAGGUAGGCGGUCGAACAAGUUGUGGGUGAAAUCCCUUGACUCAAUCAAGGAACUGCCUUCAAAACUACUCGACUUGAGGACUGGAGAGGAGAGCGGAAUUCCCGGUGUAAGGGUGAAAUCUGUAGAUAUCGGGAGGAACACCUGUGGCGAAAGCGGCUCUCUAGACAGUCCCUGACGCUGAGCUGCGAAAGCUAGGGGAG
rnacentral:rRNA from 1 species